GGGAGGCAGCAGUAGGGAAUCUUCCGCAAUGGACGAAAGUCUGACGGAGCAACGCCGCGUGAGUGAUGAAGGCUUUCGGGUCGUAAAACUCUGUUGUUAGGGAAGAACAAGUACAAGAGUAACUGCUUGUACCUUGACGGUACCUAACCAGAAAGCCACGGCUAACUACGUGCCAGCAGCCGCGGUAAUACGUAGGUGGCAAGCGUUAUCCGGAAUUAUUGGGCGUAAAGCGCGC
rnacentral:rRNA from 1 species